ACCGGCAGCUCAAGUGGUGGCCAUUUUUAUUUUUCCUAAAUCUUUCUUAUCCUUUUUGAUAAGUCUCUGGUGAAAUCCCGCAGCUUAACUGUGGGACUUGCUGGAGAUACUAUUAGACUUGAGGUCGGGAGAGGUUAGGGGUACUCCCAGGGUAGGGGUGAAAUCCUAUAAUCCUGGGAGGACCACCUGUGGCGAAGGCGCCUAACUGGAACGAACCUGACGGUGAGUAACGAAAGCCAGGGGCGCGAACCG
rnacentral:rRNA from 1 species